rnacentral:rRNA from 1 species
UACGAAGGGGGCUAGCGUUGCUCGGAAUUACUGGGCGUAAAGCGCACGUAGGCGGUUUCUUAAGUCGGGUGUGAAAUCCUGGAGCUCAACUCCAGAACUGCCUUCGAUACUGGGAGACUUGAGUUCGGGAGAGGUGAGUGGAACUGCGAGUGUAGAGGUGAAAUUCGUAGAUAUUCGCAAGAACACCAGUGGCGAAGGCGGCUCACUGGCCCGAUACUGACGCUGAGGUGCGAAAGCGUGGGGAGCAAACAGG